rnacentral:rRNA from 1 species
AUUGAACGCUGGCGGCAGGCCUAACACAUGCAAGUCGAGCGGAUGAAGGGAGCUUGCUCUUGGAUUCAGCGGCGGACGGGUGAGUAAUGCCUAGGAAUCUGCCUGGUAGUGGGGGAUAACGUCCGGAAACGGGCGCUAAUACUGCAUACGUCCUGAUGGAGAAAGUGGGGGAUCUUCGGACCUCACGCUAUCAGAUGAGCCUAGGGCGGAUUAGCUAGUUGGUGGGGUAAAUGCCUACCAAGGCGACGAUCCGCAACUAGUCUGAUAGGAUGAUCAGUCAAACUAGAACUGAGACACGGUCCAGACUCCUACGGGAGGCAGCAGUGGGGAAUAUUAGACAAUGGGCGAAAGCCUGAUCCAGCCCUGCCGCGCGUGUGAAGAAGGUCUUCGGAUUGUAAAGCUCUUUAAGUUGGGAGGAAGAGCAGUAAGUUAAUACCUUGCUGUUUUGACGUUACCAACAGAAUAAGCACCGGCUAACUUCGUG